UAACGGCUUACCAAGCCGACGAUCAGUAGCCGACCUGAGAGGGUGACCGGCCACAUUGGGACUGAGACACGGCCCAGACUCCUACGGGAGGCAGCAGUGGGGAAUAUUGCACAAUGGAGGAAACUCUGAUGCAGCGACGCCGCGUGAGCGAAGAAGUAUUUCGGUAUGUAAAGCUCUAUCAGCAGGGAAGAAAAAGGACGGUACCUGACUAAGAAGCUCCGGCUAAAUAC
rnacentral:rRNA from 1 species